rnacentral:rRNA from 1 species
UGCAAGUCGAACGAUGAACCACUUCGGUGGGGAUUAGUGGCGAACGGGUGAGUAACACGUGGGCAAUCUGCCCUGCACUCUGGGACAAGCCCUGGAAACGGGGUCUAAUACCGGAUACUGAUCCUCGCAGGCAUCUGCGAGGUUCGAAAGCUCCGGCGGUGCAGGAUGAGCCCGCGGCCUAUCAGCUAGUUGGUGAGGUAACGGCUCACCAAGGCGACGACGGGUAGCCGGCCUGAGAGGGCGACCGGCCACACUGGGACUGAGACACGGCCCAGACUCCUACGGGAGGCAGCAGUGGGGAAUAUUGCACAAUGGGCGAAAGCCUGAUGCAGCGACGCCGCGUGAGGGAUGACGGCCUUCGGGUUGUAAACCUCUUUCAGCAGGGAAGAAGCGAAAGUGACGGUACCUGCAGAAGAAGCGCCGGCUAACUACGUGCCAGCAGCCGCGG